rnacentral:misc_RNA from 1 species
GAAAUGCGAUAAGUAAUGUGAAUUGCAGAAUUCAGUGAAUCAUCGAAUCUUUGAACGCACCUUGCGCUCCUUGGUAUUCCUUGGAGCAUGCCUGUUUGAGUAUCAUGAAAUCUUCAAAGUAAAUCUUUUGUUAACUCAAUUGGUUUCUACUUUGGUAUUGGAGGUCUUUGCAGCUUCACACGUGCUCCUCUUUGUUCAUUAGCUGGAUCUCAGUGUUAUGCUUGGUUCCACUCGGCGUGAUAAGUUAUCUAUCGCUGAGGACACUGUAAAAGGUGGCCAAGGUAAAUGCAGAUGAACCGCUUCUAAUAGUCCAUUGACUUGGACAAUACUUUUAUGAUCUGAUCUCAAAUCAGGUAGGACUACCCGCUGAACUUAAGC